rnacentral:rRNA from 1 species
GUGCCAGCCGCCGCGGUAAUACGUAGGGGGCAAGCGUUGUCCGGAAUCAUUGGGCGUAAAGAGCGUGUAGGCGGCUUGGCAAGUCUGACGUGAAAUCCCGCGGCUCAACCGCGGUAGGUCGUUGGAAACUGCCUCGCUAGAGUCCGGAAGAGGAGAGCGGAAUUCCUGGUGUAGCGGUGGAAUGCGCAGAUAUCAGGAAGAACACCCGUGGCGAAGGCGGCUCUCUGGGACGGUACUGACGCUGAGACGCGAAAGCGUGGGGAGCGAACAGGAUUAGAUACCCCCGUAGUCC